AACGUAGGUGGCGAGCGUUAUCCGGAUUUACUGGGCGUAAAGCGUGUGCAGGCGGGGUGACAAGUGGUGUAUGAAAUCCCCGGGCUCAACCUGGGAACUGCAUUUGUGACUGCAUCGCUGGAGUGCGGCAGAGGGGGAUGGAAUUCCGCGUGUAGCAGUGGAAUGCGUAGAUAUGCGGAGGAACACCGAUGGCGAAGGCAAUCCCCUGGGCCUGCACUGACGCUCAUGCACGAAAGCGUGGGGAGCAAACAGG
rnacentral:rRNA from 1 species